AUUAAUGUUAUUAAAAAGAUUAUUUUUUUUUAUUAAAGGCUAUUUAUAUUAUAGAAACUAUCAUUAAUAUAUAUUCUUUAUUUACAUAAUCUGUCCCAUAGUCAUGCAUUGUUUUGCACCCCAAAUUUUUUAUCGUUGGUAACAGCAUGGUUAGCUUUUCUCUCGGUCUGUAGAUGAGGCUCAGGCACUAUUCCAUUUAUCCAAUACCCGUGUAUGACUCCUUAAGGAACAGAUUGAAUCGCACACGCUUUCCUGCCGCUGCUGGCCGUUUUUUACACGACGCCCUCAUCCAUUCCUCCGUAGUUGAGACAGCACAAUCACAUGAAACCCGUUACUAAAAUGAAUACAAAACCGACUAUCAUCCUGACUCUUAAUCCUUCUGCAGAGGUCUAGUCAUGAGUGACUCUUUACAUUAUGAGAGACUGGAAACCAUGAAUUUUUUACCUUCGUAAGCUACGUAUCCGUACUUCAAUGAUAAAAGUAGGACAUUAACCCAUUUUACUAUCAUGUCCCAAUUCCAAGUGGUGAGGUCUCACUCCAGUGUCAUUAAAUCCCAUUCAGGCACGGUGCAUUAGUGAGCAUUCUGAAAUGCAUCCAUCUAAGAUGUAGGGCUAAUGUUAGUGGUCGCUCUAGAUUUCUACUCAGUGUUUGAAUGAUUCAUGUCCUAGAAAAUAGCUUUAGCAGAUACUCAGAUGCCACACCAAAAAAAGAAGAAAAAAAGAAAAAAAAAAGAAUAAAUAAAAAGGAAAAAAAAAAGAAAAACUGUGCAAUAAUCUCCUGACAGUUCCUAGCUCAGGCGUUCCUGGGGAGCAUCGUUAUGAAGAGCGCACGCUGUACACGCUAGAAAACAGAAUCCCUGUAAUACAGUGCUCACCUUGAGGCCAGACACCUAUAUAGACGUUUUGAAUAGUGAACAGGGGACUCUAAUAGAAAUACUCUUAAUAUCUGCCUAUUUUUAGAACCCUUAAAGGGCAUAAUUAUUGAAGAUUUAGGUACUUCACUAAAGCAUGUAUAUAUUAUUGCCAACAAGAAAAAUAAACCUGAAGAUUAGGGGAACUUGGUUCUGUAAACUGUCUUGGAAUAGUUAAGCAGAAUUUAAGCUCUGUUUUAUGCAGAAAACCAGAUAGAUUCUUUUGCAGAUAUAGAAAACUUCCUAACUUAUUUAAACUUGGCAUUUAACACUUUGUGUUACUUAGAUAUACAGUUGCUAGGUACUAACAUCCCAUUCUUCUCUAUAUCAGGGAUUAUUACAGUCAAACUCAGUGACAUGGUACAAAUCUACAACUUUGAUGGUGGGAACUGAAGAAUUACAGAGAACUGUGUUUUCCCGAGUGCCAAAAGAAACAAAAACAAAACAAAACAAACAAACCCC
rnacentral:lncRNA from 1 species